rnacentral:lncRNA from 1 species
UAGCAAACUACGAUAAAGGUUUAUUUUUAGAACUUCAUGUAAAAAUAGGUGGUAGUUUUUCCAUUUCCAGAAUGUUUUGUCCUUUUGUGUUUUCAUUCCUCUUAAAUAAUUAAUGAAUUCACAGAGGAGAUUUCAAGUGAUGAAGAGGAGACAAACGUAACCGCUCAAGCCAUGCAGUCAAAUAACGGAAGAGGUGAAGAGGAGGAAGAGGAGGAGGAUGACUGGGAUGAAGAAGUACUGGAAGAAACCGCCCUGGAGGGCUUCAGCACCCCACUGGACCUUGACAACAGUGUGGAUGAAUAUCAGUUUUUUACACAAGCUCUGCUAAACCCGGGACGCUGCCUGGUACCAGCUGCUCACCGCCCCGCUCAGCGAGGACCAGAGGCGGGCGCUGCAAGAGGUGUACACCCUGGCCGAGCACCGGAGGACAGUCGCAGAGGCAAAGAAGAAGAUUGAACAACAGGGAGGCUUCACGUUUGAAAACAAAGGAGUCCUCUCCGCAUUUAACUUUGGGACUGUGCCCAGCAACAACUGAAAGAGGGAACGUCAGCCUACCAAAUGUCAUCGCUACACUUUACUUCACCAGGGGACUGGGAAGCUCAAGGGGAGGAGAAGAGUGGGCUGCUCUUCGGCCCCCUCCUGCUGUGCCAGUUCGCUCUGGCUUCAGGCAGCACUUCUAUCCACUCCCGCUUCCCCUUUGACCUUUCUCCCCCACGAAAUAUAUAUUCCACGCAGCUACUGUAAUGUAUGAAAUUCAAGGAAAACAAAAUCAGUGGACUGAAAAGGACAAAUCAUAUUCUCCAAAGGAUGAAUGACCAAGGUGGUUUUAGAGGAUUGAAUUGAAAUGCACGUCUCAGGUUUUUGCCAUGCAGAAUCAAUGGAUUUAUGCGGAUAACAGUGCCUUCUGUUGUACAUGAAUUAUCUGAAAAUUUUUUUGGAGUGCAUUGCAAUUUUUUUUAAAGCAUAAAACAUAUUUCUAGAUAUAAUGUAACCUUGGCUAUAUGUUGACUUAUUCUGCGUUUUACUAUGUGAAUUUACUGUUAGGCAGUUAGCUACAAGUCACGCUGGUUUCAAAAACAUCCCUGCUCCCCUCGCUCACCCUGUUGCUGGGGGCUGUCUUCAGGGGUUGUAAGAUAUGCACUGGCUCUGGUUUUUCAUCAGAUGUUUUGUGGCUUUCCUAAUAAGUGUCUUAUUCUCUCUUCCAUCAUAUUUUUGAGCCCUGAAAGAGGUGGUAUUUCUUUUGGAGCCAGCAAAUAGGAGUAUAAAUUUCAUUUAUAACCUGGUAAGUUCCAGACUCAAAAGUUUCUUGACAGCAAGUGGCAGGAGCUCUUUAGUCACUGGAAUUAACAAUAAGAGACCGAGAGUAUAUUCUGAAUCAUGUACUUAAUUAUGUAAUGAAUUGAUAAUUAUACUAAAGCACAUUGAACUCUUAUGAGAAGGGUGCUAUAUAAGCACGUGGUCUUUCUGGAUGGGGGCUUGCAUUUUCAACAACAUAUCAUUCCAGCUAUGUUGGACCUGGGUCCAAAACAUUUUCUAACAAAAUUUUUUAUCUAGGAUAAGGACCCAAAUGAAUUUAACUUCUAUUUCUCACACAUCUGAAUUUCCCCCUACCUAAUUCAUUCUAGCCUUUACUAUAGCUAAGUUCAGCUUGUUAUAUUUUUCACAGGUUGGGAUGUUGGUCAGCUGCACUCUUAGAUGGUAAUGAUACCUAUAGGAAAUAUUGCAGAUGGAGGUUCUGGCUCUUUUUCUGAACAAAUUCAAGACUAAAACAUGGAUCAUAGUGUUUUCAUACAGUAAAGUGAAAGUGUAUUUUCAAAACCUAAUGUAUUACUGGAUACGAUACAGUUUUCCAUUUUUGUGAAAUGUCUGCAGCUUAUAUUUCCCCUUAGUGACUGGAGGAAUUUUCUCCAGGUGCUUCCUAUAUUGCCAUCCCUUGUUAAUAUUAACUCUUUUUAGAAGUUUAGGUUAUUUAAAUAGUUUUUACAGAAGUAGCCUAAGAAGCCAUGAGUUUCAGAGUUAAAUGAUCCCUCACUUUCCUCUGUCCCUCUUCCCAAGGCAUUGAUGUUGAAUGUGCCAGCUGGCAGAAGAGAAAGAUGGCACUGGGGGACAUUUUAGUUAUCUUAAGCUUUGAAACUCUUCUUAUUCUCCCCAUGUCCAAAAUGGUUUAUUUUAACAUAAAUAAUAUGCCUUCACACUGGAUUGUAAAAGGCAUGUGAUUUUAUUUUUGUGAGGUAUUGUCUUCUGCAGUAUUAAAGGGAAAGAGAUGUUAAUGUGUAUCAUCCUAUCUUGUUUUUGAAGCCAGGGUAGUUGUAUAAUUUUGUUACCAGCAGUGCUAACCUGAAUGUGAUCUGGUUACCUUGGAAAUGCAGGAACUUAUAUGAAUGUACUGUAAAAUAAAACACGGACUGAUUCCCA